ACGGGUGAGUAACACGUGAGAAACCUGCCCUGAAGUCUGGGAUAACCCGAGGAAACUCGAGCUAAUACCGGAUGCCUUCAUUUGAUCGCAUGGUCGAAUGAAGAAAGAUUUAUUGCUUCAGGGGGGUCUCGCGGCCUAUCAGCUAGUUGGCGGGGUAACGGCCCACCAAGGCGUCGACGGGUAGCUGGUCUGAGAGGACGAUCAGCCACACUGGGACUGAGACACGGCCCAGACUCCUACGGGAGGCAGCAGUGGGGAAUAUUGCGCAAUGGGCGAAAGCCUGACGCAGCAACGCCGCGUGCGGGAUGAAGGCCUUCGGGUUGUAAACCGCUUUCAGUGGGGACGAAAUUGACGGUACCCACAGAAGAAGCCCCGGCCAACUACGUGCCAGCAGCCGCGGUAACACGUAGGGGGCGAGCGUUGUCCGGAUUUAUUGGGCGUAAAGAGCUCGUAGGCGGCUCGGUAAGUCGGGUGUGAAAACUCUAGGCUCAACCUAGAGACGCCACCCGAUACUGCUGUGGCUAGAGUCCGGUAGGGGAGCAUGGAAUUCCUGGUGUAGCGGUGAAAUGCGCAGA
rnacentral:rRNA from 1 species